rnacentral:rRNA from 1 species
AUUGAACGCUGGCGGCAGGCCUAACACAUGCAAGUCGAGCGGAUGAAGGGAGCUUGCUCCUGGAUUCAGCGGCGGACGGGUGAGUAAUGCCUAGGAAUCUGCCUGGUAAUGGGGGAUAACGUCCGGAAACGGGCGCUAAUACCGCAUACGUCCUGAGGGAGAAAGUGGGGGAUCUUCGGACCUCACGCUAUCAGAUGAGCCUAGGUCGGAUUAGCUAGUUGGUGGGGUAAAGGCCUACCAAGGCGACGAUCCGUAACUGGUCUGAGAGGAUGAUCAGGCAAACCUGAACCUGAGCACGGUCCCAGCUCCUAAGGGAAGCAACAGGUGGGAAUUUUUGGCAAAUGGCGGAAGCCUUACUCAACCAAGGCCCGGGGUGUGAGAAGGUCUUCGGAUUGUAAAGCACUUUAAGUUGGGAGGAAGGGCAGUAAGUUAAUACCUUGCUGUUUUGACGUUACCAACAGAAUAAGCACCGGCUAACUUCGUG